rnacentral:pre_miRNA from 1 species
AAAGUACUCCCUCCGUUCGGAAUUACUUGUCAUAAAAAUGGAUGUAUCUACAACUAAAAUACAUCUAGAUGCAUUCAUUUUUUGGACGAGUAAUUCCGAACGGAGGGAGUGGCAA